CGGACAGUGAGGAGUCUGGGGAGGAACAUGGGCUAGUCCUGGAGUCUGGGGAAGGCUCGGAUGAGGGCUGUGCAUCAGAGGCAGAGAUGGGGCCAGGGCCAUCUGGGAGUUAUGUGCUGACUCCGGAGCCUCCAGAGUCUGACGUCAGUGAGGCAGAGGAACAGGGGGAGCCUGUUCCCAGCGUGUGCAUGCGCAGAGCUGCCAGAAGGCAAGAGCAGCUAAAGCAAAGGGACGACUCGGGAGUAAGGCUUGAAGAUAAUUGGCCCUUCCCAUAAGACAUAAAGGAGGAGCAAAGACACAUGAGCCUUUGCAGGAAGCAACUUUGUUCAUGCUGGUCGGUUUAAAUUCUGAAGAUCCGUUUUGACUCUGUGCUCCGUGUGGCCUUGCAAAGCUAAUUGACAAUUAGGUCUUUGGCAAGGGAGAUAAAGGUGGGUGCUUAUCAGCCUUAUCCGGAAAGACUGUGGCAGAAUUCUGUCAGACUCUUCACAAACUAUUUGUGACUCAUUAUGGGCUGUGAAUGAACAGAAUUCACAGCUGUUGAAAUAAAAAGAGGGGUUUGGGGACUAAUUAUGUGCUUUUUACUAUCUCAGGGAGCUAGGUCAGAACAGGGGUUCAUGCUCAAAGAGCAGGUGGUAGCCAUGGCAAGAGGGUCUUUUACAUGGUUUAUGUGCCAAUUGCCCCCAGACUGGGAGGCCCUGCUCACAAUCACUCGUGCCUUGGUCACUUCCUGACAUGCUAUAUACAUGUCUGGAAAGACCUUCUGAAAUUGCAACUGGUCCAGAAUGUGGCAGUUAGCUCAGUGUUUGGGUGUUCCUUGAUUUAUUCACGUCACACUGCAGUUGCGCCAGCUGCACCGCCUCCUCGGUUUCUUUCUGGGUGCAAUUCACGGGGCUGAUGGUCAUCCUUAAAACUCUAUAGGACCAGCUUGUUUGUGAGACCACCUCUUCCCGAGGAGGCACCUGCCCUUCAUUAAAAGCAUUUUCAAAAGAAAAAAUGAGAUGAGACAGGGAAGUGUUCUGUCCCCGUACCAAGCACACACACAACCAGCCAGCCAGCCGAGGGUUAAAUAAACUCUUCAAACACACAACGUCAGUGAUAAGGAACUUGGCAGCAACUCCGUGGCUGCCUGCCAAGUGCUUUUACUCCGAUAACACAGACAAAAAUACACACAGUUUGAAUAGUCCAGUUCGUAAUUAAAUCCACAGCAAAAUAGGUGUUGUGUCCGAAGGUGCAAAGUGCUUCGCCAGAGAUUAGCUUUGUCCGUCAUAGAGUCGGAAUGGCCACCACACUCCCUUUUAUAGCCUGUGGGGUGUGGUCCAGUGAUUCAGCUAAUCUCUGGCACGCCUUCCCCUCUGCUGCGCACGCUUCUCCCUGCGCCUCUGGCGAGGGUCCAGCCAGCACUUAUUUUCCUUGUCGCUGUCCACCUGUGGCUUGGCUCUGAGCCUAUCGUUUGGCCUUCGGUGUCCUCCGGAGGCAUUGCCAGAGAGGAGGGUCCUGGAGAGGGAGGCCUGGCCGUCUCCUCUCCUUCAUCUUCGGAGCCUUCUUCCUCCGUUAAGAUAGGCUCAGAGGACGGAGCCACAACAGGAAGCGGUCAGAUCUAAGGACAGUAAAUGGUUUCCGUAUCGUUUCCCCUUGUGGCUUGUCUUCUGCUAAGUCAAAACUUGGUCCAGCUAGUUCCCAGCAAUGACUAGGAGUCAUCCCUGAACUAGUUCUGCCUUUUUGGAGAUGCUGGGAUUGACAUUCCUUAUGCAAAGCUGGUGUUUUCCCACCAAGCUAUGAACUCUCCUAAGGAGGGGAAGGUUCUUGCAGUCACUGAAUUGAAAAACCUGCUCUGAUCUUUUUUUUUUGUAGAGAACGGUUGGUUGCACAAAGCGGUGGCCUUGCCUUCAGGUGUCCAUCUCAUAGAAGAACUGCAAGUUUUUGAGGAAGCCCAACCCAUCAAGAGCCUGGUCUUAUCAGUACCGAAGAGAGUCCUCUUUAUCGGCUCCAACACACAAGUCAUCCAGGUCCCCGUGGCCAAUUGCAGCAAGUACAAGACGUGCUCGGACUGUAUUCUCGCCAAGGAUCCUUACUGUGCUUGGACUUGGAACGGAAGUCGCUGCGUCCGGAUUGAUGCAUACGAUGGGACCUCAAUAUUGUUCCAAGAUUUGGGAAUGGAGCCCAAGAUGUGUAACCCCUUGCGUUCUACCAGACCAGGUCAGUCCUCCGAACAAAUGUCAACCCUUU